rnacentral:misc_RNA from 1 species
GAUGAAGAACGUAGCGAAAUGCGAUAAGUAAUGUGAAUUGCAGAAUUCAGUGAAUCAUCGAAUCUUUGAACGCAUCUUGCGCUCCUUGGUAUUCUGAGGAGCAUGCCUGUUUGAGUGUCAUUAAAUUCUCAACCGCACUGACUUUGAAUUGGUGUGGCUUGGAUUUGGGGGGAAAAUUGUUGUGGGCUUUUUUGUAUAGUCUGCUCCCCUGAAAUUGAUUAGCGGUACCUUUGUGGAACUGUCUACAGGUGUGAUAAUUAUCUACAUCCUAGACAUCUGCUGGAAUGCUGCUUUCUAAACCUUACUUGUAUUGACAAUCUUGACCUCAAAUCAAGUAGGACUACCCGCUGAACUUAAGCAUAUCAAUAAGCGGAGGA